ensembl:lncRNA
UCGGAGUAUAUACUCGGUUUUGUUUGGCUGUCCUAGUCUGGGCUCCUAUGUCUGGGAUCUCCUCAACAAUCGCACCCAGCCCCUGGUGGGAGGAGUAGAGAGUGGUUUCUUCCAGCCUUUCAGGCCAGGCACAGCAGUUUUUGAAAAUAUUGAAUUCCCUCUGGAUGUCAAAGACGGCAUAAACUUGCUGUCAGUUCUGCUUUGUCUUCUCUGUACAGCCUGCACCAUGUACACCAUGCUUAGAAUCAGAGCUAUGGCACAGCACCCUCAGGAUGAGGGAGGGAAAAAGAGCAGAGCAACAAACACCAUGCCUACGCAGACUGACACAGAGGAGAAAGGAACCAAAUGCAAAGCAACAGCGUCCAUGUCUACGCAGACUGUCACCGAGGAGAAAGAACCCAGAUGCAAGACAACAGCGUCCAUGUCCACGCAGACUGACACAGAGGAGAAAGAACCCAGACGCAAGACAACAGCGUCCAUGUCCACGCAGACUGACACAGAGGAGAAAGAACCCAGACGCAAGACAACAGCGUCCAUGUCCACGCAGACUGACACAGAGGAGAAGGGAACCAAAAGCACUGUCAGCGUCCCCAUGCAAACCAUCACUGAACCAGAACAGCCUAAACCGAUUGCAGUUGCCCCCGUGCAGAAGAAGAAAUCAAAAAGCAAAUCAGUCCGCAUAGUGACUGACGAGGAUGCAGCAGGACCUUCGCACCCAGCAGAAGAGGCAGAGCCAGAGAUCAUCACUCGGUCGCUAUCCCUGGGUGAGCUGCGAGACCUGCGGAGGGAAUUCACCCGCCAGACGAACGAGUCUAUCCUGACCUGGCUGCUCCGCAUCUGGGACGCUGCAGCCAAUGACACCAUUCUGGACGGAAGUGAGGCCAGGCAACUGGGAUCUCUGUCCCGGGAUGUGGUCAUUGACCAGGGGAUCGGGAGAACCCAAGAAACCCUCAGCCUCUGGCGGCGACUGCUUACAAGUGUAAGGGACAGGUACCUUUGUAAAGAAGACCUCCAGGUGCACCAAGGAAAAUGGAGCACAAUGGAACAAGGUAUCCGGUGCCUGAGGGAAUUGGCUGUGCUGGAGAUCAUUUUCUCAGAAGAUGAGAGAUUUCCUAAGAGCCCAGAUGGUGUCCAGUGCACGUCACAGAUGUGGUUGAGGUUCGCACGCCUUGGACCAGAGAUAUACUCCCGUUACCUGGCAACGCUGCAAUGGAGGGAAGGCGAGGACAGGGUGGGCGUCUUGGUCAACAAACUGAGGAUUUACGAGGACACCGUCACAGCCCCGUUUCGCACCCAUGUCUCAUCCGUGGAAACAAGUCUUUUGGCUGAGCAAGUCCGGAGCUUGAUUGAAGAAGGCCAUCAGAAACUGAAAAAGGAACUUAAGGAAGAGAUUUACCACAUCCCACCAGAACCAACAAGAGUCUCUGCCAUUAGGAGCCGGCGACCCCCAACCAGGGAGAGAGGAUACACCCCACGAGGUAACCUCUGGUUUUUCCUUCAGGAACAUGGAGAAGACAUGAGUAAGUGGGAUGGAAAACCCACCUCCUCCUUAGCAGCUCGGGUACGUGAACUAAAAAGAGGGACAACUACCACAAGAAGCGCAUCUAGAGUCAACAUUGCUCCGGUCUCCCGCACACAGAACUCCAGACGGUACAGGAAUGAUAAUAUGACCGAUCCUCUUGAAGGGACCUCAGGAACGUAUUCACCGGAAGGGAGCAACAUGCAACAUGACCAGGAAUAGAGGGGCCCUGCCUCUAGCCAGGUAGAGGAAAGGGAGAAUCGGGUCUUUUGGACUGUGUGGGUCCGAUG